rnacentral:lncRNA from 13 species
AUGUUUUUAAAUCCUGAGCUGCUGAUGCUGCUAAAAUAUCUGAGGCCUGUUGACUACAUUCAGAAGAGCAGGAGAUGCUAAAUUUCAGUGGAAGAUACAGCAAGAAGGUGGCUGCCUGCAAGCCAGGAAGAGUCCUCACCAGAAUCUGACAGUGCUGGUCCCUUGAUCCUGGACUUCCAGCCUCCAGAGCUGAGAGAAAUAAGCCACUUAGACUAUGAUAUUUUGUUAUGACA